rfam:Triticum aestivum genome assembly, contig: Triticum_aestivum_CS42_TGACv1_scaffold_543093_6DS
CAUAUACUCCCUUCGUCCGGAAAUACUUGUCAUUAAAAUGGAUAAAAAAAGAUGUAUCUAGACAUAUCUUACUUCUAGAUACAUCCAUUUUCAUCCAUUUUGAUGACAAGUAUUUUCGGACGAAGGGAGUACUCA